GGGCUUUAUAGUGGAAUGAGUUUGGGUCACUCAGACUUACAUGUUUGAUGAACUUGUUUGCCCUUUUCUGAAUUUUUAUCAGCAGAGGGUAUUGGCCUAGUUCUGCCCUACAUGCGUUAUUAGUUGUGUGCCGGUGGACUUUUAGAAUGGCUUUACAAAAUUCAGUAUGCAGGAUCUCAACUGGGUGUUUUUCCCAUUUAUCUAGGUCCUGAUUUCCAAGUGGGCCCCACAUUUCACUGCCAUAAAGGGCAAUUGGUUCUAUUACUGAUGAGAACAGUUUUAGCCAGAUUUGGAUUGGGAUUUCGAAGGGAAUUUGUCUUCUUAUGGCAUGAAGAGCCCUGCGUGUCUUGUCUCUUAAUUAAUUCACUGCCAUGUUGAAUGAUCCUUUAUUAUUUAUUCUAAGGCCUAGCCAGGGCCCAGGUCUGGCAGAACUUUUGAAGAUGGUCUAGUUGAGUCUGGAGUCCCUUUUCUGUUGGUGAAAGAAUGACAAGAUCAUCUGCAAAGAGCAGGAAUUUGACUUCACUGUCAUGUAGAGUGAGUCCAGGAGCUGAUGAUUUUUCAAGUAUGCUUGCUAGCUCAUUGAUGUAUAUAUUAAAUAAAGUUGGACUUAAUGAGCA